CCUACGGGUUGCACCAGUGGGGAAUAUUGCACAAUGGGCGCAAGCCUGAUGCAGCCAUGCCGCGUGUGUGAAGAAGGCCUUCGGGUUGUAGAGCACUUUCAGCGGGGAGGAAGGCGAUAAGGUUAAUAACCUUGUCGAUCGACGUUACCCGCAGAAGAAGCACCGGCUAACUCCGUGCCAGCAGCCGCGGUAAUACGGAGGGUGCAAGCGUUAAUCGGAAUUACUGGGCGUAAAGCGUACGCAGGCGGUCUGUCAAGUCGGACGUGAAAUCCCCGGGCUCAACCUGGGAACUGCAUUCGAAACUGGCAGGCUAGAGUCUUGUAGAGGGGGGUAGAAUUCCAGGUGUAGCGGUGAAAUGCGUAGAGAUCUGGAGGAAUACCGGUGGCGAAGGCGGCCCCCUGGACAAAGACUGACGCCCAGGUGCGAAAGCGUGGGGAGCAAACAGGAUUAGAUACCCUCGUAGUC
rnacentral:rRNA from 1 species